rnacentral:lncRNA from 1 species
ACACUAUUCCCCAAGGUCGAGUAACCAUAACUUAAUACACAAAUCAUAACUUAUUUAACACAUAACAUUAUUAUUACACUAUACUAUUACAAAACUAAUCACGCACAUUAACUUUAAGCUGGAACUGUCUUUAAUCUUUCCUUGUAUCUGACGCAUUCGCCUUAAUCUACAAUGUUUUAUCAUGAUAUAGCAAGGGUGAGCAUAAAAGUUGUCCAACAAGUUUAAAUUCAAUAAUAUAACGAUAUAUCAUGAUUGAAAGAGUCUGAAUAAUAAGCUGGCGAUAAUUCAACAAUAUAAUUGUGAACUAGCACGAACAAAUUUAUGACUGAACAAGUAUUAUACAUGAACAAAUAUAUCUGAAACCAACUGGUAAUGAAGGUGAUCAGCCUUUCAUACCUGACUUAUACAUGCAAUAUGUACANNNNNNNNNNNNNNNNNNNNNNNNNNNNNNNNNNNNNNNNNNNNNNNNNNNNNNNNNNNNNNNNNNNNNNNNNNNNNNNNNNNNNNNNNNNNNNNNNNNNAUUUUUCAUGUAUUAAAAUCAUUUUUAAAUAAUUUAUUUAAUAUUAUAAUUAAAUAAAUUAAAUACCAUUUAUAUUCCAAAAAUAUUAAAUAUUUAUGAAAUAUACUCAAAAUAAUUAAAAACUAUUUUUCAGUCUUUAAAAUAAUUUUUUGUAAUUUAUUUAUUAUUUUUAAUGAUUAAAAACCAUUUAAUUUGAUUUAUUAAAUUAAUUAAUCUAUUUUGCAAAAAUAAUUGUCUCUAAAGGACCCUAUAGCGACAGACCCGUCGCUAUAGGUGUUCUUGAGCCUGCCCAGAUAAGCAAGUCAGUCACCGAGUUGGUAUGUUUGACCACAAAUGAAUCUGCGUUCCGGUCGAUUUUUGGGCUUGAUAAUGGUCAGAUCCUGUAGUAUUGAUGCAACACUACAUGAUCUAACCAUCAUUAGGGUUAUAAUGCAUCACACAAGCACGAUCUAGACUUCUAAAAAGUCUGACAAAGCUGUUCUUCAUUUCUGGGUUCUCCAGAAAUGAAGAACAGUUGCUACUACCUCUUUUGGAUCCUUAUAAAAUGCAUAUUUAAGAUUUCUUUGUGUGAUAUGAAGGUUCAUAUAUGUAGUGGAGAUGUCAGUGAACAACUUGAUAUCCUUAGAUUAGUCUAACAACAACAUUACACGAAGAUGUAGGCCGGUCAAACUACUUGUCAGGAACUCGGCUGAUGAAGAUCUGGGUUACCCAGAAUCUUCAUCCGGCGUGAUGGUCAACGCCUGUUUGACCCACAAUUUCUAUGAUUCUGUUACGGUGUUUGGUGAUCUAAAGGCAUGAGUGUGAAGUCCUUAUACGUGUCUACAACAUAUAAACAACAACAUAACAAAAACAAUAACAUACAGUAAGAUCAAAGACUCAGAAAACGUUGUCAGACGAGAUCUGGGCUUCUGGGUUGCCCAGAAACUCAGUCUCUAUGACCGGUCAACGCAGUUUGACUGCUCAUAUCUCUCAAUCCUAUCAUGAUCUGGCCAUGUUUAUAGUUUCAGAUCAAAGUUCUCAUGACAUAGAACACAUUUAUAACAUAAAACAACACAAAGCAAAAAUAGAGAAGGAUUUACAGGCCUUGACAUUAGCUUGGCAGGCCAUAUUUCUAACUUUUUCCAGAUUUUAAAAAUCAUCAAAUCCGAGCAUUUUGAUGUUAUGGAUCUGGGAUUUAACAACCCAGAUCACUAAAAGACACCUUAUUACACAUCUUUAACCAAUCAAUUACAACUUUUAACAUCAAAUCAAAAUAUUUUAAAAAUUAGGGUUCUUAUACCUUUUGAAGCUAUGAUUCUGAUUCUGAUCCUUGAUGAUCUGAUAUUUGAUAGUUAUGGACUGAUCAUGUCUUAUCUUAUAUCACUUUCUCACUCUACAUUUUUCGGAUUUUAGAGAGAGAAGGUCUUGGAGAGAAAUAAAAAUGUAAGUGGCCAUUUCUCUCUCUUUAAUCUCUAUAAAUGACUUGAUGCAAUGGAAUGGCUGGAAAUUUCUGCUGAGAUAGCUCGUAAUUGUCAAAUGCUAUGCUUAGGGUUGGCCACCAACUCACAAUAGGUCAAUUCUUGCAAGUUAAGUCACAAUAAUGCACUAAGGACAUUUUAGUCUUUUCGUAUACAAAAUUAAUGGCAUUCUUAUCAAUUAGCCAAACCCUUAGGGUUUAGGGUUUGGGUUAGGGUUUAUAAUUUGGACCAUUUUAGGAUUUAGGGUUUAACCCUUAACUUGCAAUUUAUUUUUCUAAAAUUUCCAAUUUAGGUUUUUAAAAUAGAAAAUUAACAUUUUCAAAAUUAUAAUUAUAAUUUUCUAAUUAUAUUAAAAUUUCUUAAUCAUUACUUAAAUCUUGCUAAUUAGGAUUAGCAUUUCCUAAUUCCAAUCGCUAAUUAAAUAAUUAGGGUCAAAAUGGUCAUUAGGGUUUAUAAACCACUAAUUAGGGUUUUCAAUAGAAAAAAAAAUAAUUUUCUAAUUUAGAAAUUAAAUUUCGUAAUUAGAUUAGGGUUUUCUAAUUGCUUAAUUUUGAAAAUUAGGAUUAAUAUUUCCUAAUUAAUAUUAAAAUUAUUAAAUUAACACUUAGGUUUUUUUCCCGAAUUAUAAAUUAGGGUUUCUUAUCCCGAAAUUAGGGUUUUCUAAAUUUAAAAUUAGGGUUUACUAAAUAAUUAAGCUUUACCCUAAUUAAUAUUAUAAUUAAUAGCACUUAAGCAUUAUAAUUAUCCUUUACGUUCCAAGAUUAGGGUUUCAUACAUCGAAUUAGGGUUUCGAAUUUCCCCAAACCGACAUUAGUGUUUCAGAACCGGUUUUAGGGUUUCUUGUUAAUCUCUAGGAUUUUCUAACCGAACGUUGACGUUCUUAAUAUAUACGUAGGGUUUGUUACAGAUAUCAUUUAUCUGGUCAACCCUUGACCCUUAACCACAUACUGUACACAUAUUCAUAGAACAUAUUCGCUUAUUCCCUUAAUCAUGAAUAAUUCACCUAAAUCCUUAACAGAAUUUUGAAAUCCUCAAAAUUCUAUCUUAAAAAUAUCAAACACAUACACUUAUUUUCUGUCUAGGUUCAAAUUAUGAACCUUAAAUUAAUUAAUAAAAAUUUUAAAAAUAUUCAAAAUUCUCGGGUUGUCACAUUCACCCCUUCUUCUAAAAAUUUCGUCCCCGAAAUUUACCUUACACCUUACACCAUACACCAUACAUACACAACAUCUCAUGCUACCCAAUAAACCACUCACAAGAGUAAAAAUUUUCAAAUUUUGCUGAGGAGUCAUAUAGACUAUUUGUCUGUCAUUUUCGCAAAGGUUUUAUGGAAAUUCAUCCACAAACUAUCAGAACUUACAGACAUAAAGGGUGAUUAGCCCGAUAUGUCCUGUACUGGCCAAGUACUGAUUUUAUCUGUUUCUCUUCACUGCCAUAGGCACAAAAAUUCUACCUCAGUCUUAUUGGAUUCCGCACCAAUACAAUUUGGUUCGGGAAAUUUCUUUCAAUGAACAUUUAGAGUUUUCAUAAACCUUAGUCUAGCUGAAUCGAAUAGCGUAGACUCAUAUCAAUAAUUCAAUUCAAUCGAAUUAUUUAAGUGUAGCCAAACCCCGUUGACAAAUUAAAUUUUAGUGAUUUUUUUUUUGAGAAUGACGUCAUGAUGCCGUACUGUAUUAACAGUCCGUGUGAGGAUGCCGUCAUUAUAUGACUUUGUCAUAACACAUCAUACAAUAGUGGAAUAACGAUUUUAGAUCAAAUUCACACUAAGUAUUCCUAUAUUUACAACUCCAUCAACUUUUUAUCAUCUCUGCAUCAGGUUACAUGGUACAUGAGUGAUAAAUAAAAUAUAUUUUGAUAUAUCAAAUCAUUUGCGUCUAGCUGAAAUAAGUAGUAUAGACUAUACUUUAAACUGUUUCAAAAAUGAUUACGAGUCUGCAUAUUUUUUUUAAAAGGCACAUAGUGCGUAUUUAGCUUGAUGUCAAAAUUUUGAAGUCUAGCAUAGUUAGGAGUUUUGGAAAACUUAUGUCUUCACUAAUAAUCGUUUUCUUAAACAAUCUAUCUAUUCUUAUUAUCUUUAAUACUCCAUUUACACACAACUAUACCCAGUUCGUAAAACCACACUUAUGAGUCCAUAAAUUGUCACAAUCAUAUGAGUUUAAGAACUUUUCUAGACAGACCGUUGGCGUCCAUUCGCUGAGGGGUUCAGAAACAUUUCAUAUAACUAUGAAUCAAGUAUGUCACAUAAGUAUGAGUUUUAAGAACUUGUACUUAACCUUAUAUCCUCUACCUAUGACCUAACUAUCUGUUAUACACAUGAAAAAUGAAUCACCCUCUUAACAUGCAUAUAUCAAAUAGCGCGACACAACAUUUCAAUGAUUAUAAUUGUCAGAACUUAGUAGUUGUUACACCAAGUAAAAUUCCCCGCCCACACAAGGAAUCAUACAACUCAGCUGCCGACAUGAAUCCUCAAUUGAAUCCCUACCUAACACUAACCCCCUUCUCAAUACGAAUUUCAUUCAACUCGUAUUCAUAUUCCUUUCCUGAAUCUGUACCAAUUUACACAACAAUAUUGCUGUAAACUUUCCAAUCAUCAGAUUGAUUCUUAUCCCAUACUAUAACCUUAUCCGAUCACGGGGUGAUCUCAUCGUAUAUAUUACGAUUCAUUUCUAUAUCUUGAUCAUUUUGUUUUACGAUCUCCUAUCACUGUACUUUUAGUCUUUUAGACUCUAUCUAUUCACCACUACUGUUCAACUUUAUUAUCAGAGUUAGGGAACUCUGUAUCUUUACACUCGCUGAGAUUCAUCUUUGAAUCUUAUCGACUAACUAACUCUGUGUAAGUUAGUACUUAUCCUAAUCAGUGCGGUUAUUAGUCUCAGGUAUUUCUACCUAAGGUUCAUAACCAACAACUUUGAUACUAACUGUGACGACCCCGAAUCCGAGGUCCCGAAUCACCGCGGAUCCGGUUCGAUCAUUCUAACACUAUUACUAUUUGCGGAAGAUAUAAACAUAAAUUGUUUAUACAUUAACUUUACACACUAUUCCCCAAGGUCGAGUAACCUUAACUUAAUACACAAAUCAUAACUUAUUUAACACAUAACAUUAUUAUUACACUAUACUAUUACAAAACUAAUCACGCACAUUAACUUUAAGCUGGAACUGUCUUUAACCUUUCCUUGUAUCUGACGCAUUCGCCUUAAUAUGCAAUGUUUUAUCAUGAUAUAGCAAGGGUUAGCAUAAAAGUUGCCCAGCAAGUUUAAAUUCAAUAAUAUAACGAUAUAUCAUGAUUGAAAGAGUCUGAAUAAUAAGCUGGCUAUAAUUCAACAAUAUAAUUGUGAACUAGCACGAACAAAUUUAUGACUGAACAAGUAUUAUACAUGAACAAAUAUAUCUGAAACCAACUGGUAAUGAAGGUGAUCAGCCUUUCAUACCUGACUUAUACAUGCAAUAUGUACAUAGUAUAAUUCAUGGCAACCAGCAAUGAUUAACCAUAAGCUUAUUCGAAUGAAACAACUCUUAGUAGAGUUCAGUAAAAACAAACUUGCCUGAACCGUUGAUUACCGCUACGCAAUUUAUAACGCUUUAUCCGAAGACCUAAUAUUAGUAAUAUAGAUCUUCAAUAUUAGAAUAAUACCAUCAUAAUAUACUACUAUUAUAUAUAUA